rnacentral:rRNA from 1 species
CCAUGCAAGUCGAGCGGUAGAGAGAAGCUUGCUUCUCUUGAGAGCGGCGGACGGGUGAGUAAUGCCUAGGAAUCUGCCUGGUAGUGGGGGAUAACGUUCGGAAACGGACGCUAAUACCGCAUACGUCCUACGGGAGAAAGCAGGGGACCUUCGGGCCUUGCGCUAUCAGAUGAGCCUAGGUCGGAUUAGCUAGUUGGUGAGGUAAUGGCUCACCAAGGCGACGAUCCGUAACUGGUCUGAGAGGAUGAUCAGUCACACUGGAACUGAGACACGGUCCAGACUCCUACGGGAGGCAGCAGUGGGGAAUAUUGGACAAUGGGCGAAAGCCUGAUCCAGCCAUGCCGCGUGUGUGAAGAAGGUCUUCGGAUUGUAAAGCACUUUAAGUUGGGAGGAAGGGCAUUAACCUAAUACGUUAGUGUUUUGACGUUACCGACAGAAUAAGCACCGGCUAACUCUGUGCCAGCAGCCGCGGUAAUACAGAGGGUGCAAGCGUUAAUCGGAAUUACUGGGCGUAAAGCGCGCGUAGGUGGUUUGUUAAGUUGGAUGUGAAAUCCCCGGGCUCAACCUGGGAACUGCAUUCAAAACUGACUGACUAGAGUAUGGUAGAGGGUGGUGGAAUUUCCUGUGUAGCGGUGAAAUGCGUAGAUAUAGGAAGGAACACCAGUGGCGAAGGCGACCACCUGGACUAAUACUGACACUGAGG